CCUUGUUUUCCUGAACUCACCACCCCGGGUGUAUUUGUAAAUGAGGAAGCAGGCGAGGAGGCAGAGGAAGAUGAAGAUGACGAUGAGAAUGAUUCCAGUGGUCCCUGGUGGAAAGAGGGAGAUGGCGGCAGCUGAGGGUCGGAGAGUUGAAGUAGGAUUUCCAGGCACCUCCUCAGUGAUGAGUAGGCAGAGCUUCGACGCUAACCCGACUCACCUCGAAAGGCUUUUGCCUUGAACCGCAGUCGUCAGGCAUCAUUCAAAUAUAGACAGACAUCCUCGAGAACUUUCCCAGUGGUGGAUACCCCGGUGCCUCACAGGGAAGUCUCACCCCGUGACUGGAUGACUCGGCCUCUUUCUCUUACCUAGCCUGCUUUCUGCUCUCUCGGAAGACUUUCCUUCAUCUUUACCUAGAAGACAGAAUCCUUGAGUUUAAAAAAAAUGGAGUUGCAGAACAAUAAUGACAAUACUAGACCACUGAUGGAUCACUCUUGAAACUGUAUCUUGUUUACCAAGGCAUACUUACGUAGUAACAGUGUAAAAGCACGCACAGAAGCGAUGACACCGACUUCAGGGCAGAAGUUUGUAGCAAAGAGAGCAAAAUGAUGGGAAUUGCGUUGAGAGGAAAAGGAAGAAAACAUAUUGGAUCAAGUAUGGCUAGAUGUGAACAGUUAGAAUUCUGGGUGGUGGGUGCAUGACUGUCUCUUAUUUCUGUUGAGUAGUGUUUUUCAAAUUUCUCAAAAGAAAAUUCUUAUAUAUAGGGUAUGGCCUUAUAUUUUGUGUGUGUGUAUAUAUAUAGAGAGUAAUACAGGGAGGAUAUUAUAGACGAGAUAGGUACACACAUAUGCUAUAGCACGUAUAGGUGUGUAUAUACACUUAGACAUAGGAUAAUAUGUGUUCUCUGUCUAUAUAGGAUGAAUAUAUGUAUCAUGUAUGUAUUUGUCAUAUACAGUUGACCCUUGAAUAACAUGGGUUCUUUCAAUAGUAAAUAAUACAGUACUACACAGUUCAA